GGGGAAAAUGAUGAAAAAUUGGAUACAGAUUUCAUUUCCCGAAAAUGCCAUCCAUUUCCUGAUAUUCC